rnacentral:lncRNA from 10 species
CAUACAUUCGGGCGCGAGAGCCAAUGAGAUUUGGCCACACCCUCAGGGGGAAUAUAGGCCAAUCAGAGUGAGAGAAGGACACACGAACGCAAGAACCUGGGCCUAUGAGAGCACAGCGGAGAGGCGGCCCCGCUUUCCUGGAGGACCACCGGCUAAUGAGAGCGAAGCAAAGUCAGUUGGGCCCAUCCCCAAUGUGGAAUCUGGACCUUUGAGAUCGCAGGAAAGUUUGGAGGACCCUCCUGUGCCACCGCAGAGCCCGCGCCGGAAGUUUAAAAAGACGCUAAAGAAGACCGGAGACGCCCGGGAGGAAGCGCCUGACCCGGCUUCCUGGAGGAGGACAGCUGAAGACAUUUAAAGAUGAGAGCUGUUCAGGGUGGGAGCCAAGGCCCAGAGACUAGUGCAACUCAGAGGAGCACGUCCGUGGGCUUGGUCCCUGUCCUUUCUUGGGCCACAGCUGACCCUUUUUUUUUUCCCGUAGCCCUCACAAGUGUUUUAUUCUGAGUAUUUUCAAACAUGCACAUUAAGGGGAAUAGUAUAACGCACUCUUAAGUACAUCUCAAACGCUACCAAUAUUCAACACUUCUGGAUUUCACUUGAUCUAUACUUCUUUGUCACGCGCGUCCGUGUGAAGAGACCACCAAGCAGGCUUUGUGUGAGCAACAAGGCUGUUUAUUUCACCUGGGUGCAGGCGGGCUGAGUCCGAAAAAGGAGUCAGCAAAGGGUGGUGGGAUUAUCAUUAGUUCUUACAGGUUUGGGAUAGGCUUAUAAAGUACAUUCUCAAGGGCGGGGAGAAUGUUACAAAGUACCUUCUUCUUUUUUUUUUUUUUUUUUUUGAGACGGAGUCUCGCUCUGUCGCCCAGGCUGGAUUGCAGUAGUGUGACCUCGGCUCACUGCAACCUCCACCUCCUGGACUCAAGGGAUUCUCCUGCCUCAGCUUCCCUAGUAGCUGGGAUUACAGGUGUGUACUACCACACCCGGCUAAUUU